GACGAACGCUGGCGGCGUGCUUAACACAUGCAAGUCGAACGGAAAGGCCCUGCUUUUGUGGGGUGCUCGAGUGGCGAACGGGUGAGUAACACGUGAGUAACCUGCCCUUGACUUUGGGAUAACUUCAGGAAACUGGGGCUAAUACCGGAUAGGAGCUCCUGCUGCAUGGUGGGGGUUGGAAAGUUUCGGCGGUUGGGGAUGGACUCGCGGCUUAUCAGCUUGUUGGUGGGGUAGUGGCUUACCAAGGAUUUGACGGGUAGCCGGCCUGAGAGGGUGACCGGCCACAGUGGGACUGAGACACGGCCCAGACUCCUACGGGAGGCAGCAGUGGGGAAUAUUGCACAAUGGGCGGAAGCCUGAUGCAGCAACGCCGCGUGCGGGAUGACGGCCUUCGGGUUGUAAACCGCUUUCGCCUGGGACGAAGCGUGAGUGACGGUAAUGGGUAAAGAAGCACCGGCUAACUACGUG
rnacentral:rRNA from 1 species